rnacentral:rRNA from 1 species
AUACGUAGGUGGCGAGCGUUGUCCGGAAUUACUGGGUGUAAAGGGCGUGUAGGCGGGGAUGCAAGUCAGAUGUGAAAUACCGGAGCUUAACUCCGGAGUUGCAUCUGAAACUGUGUUUCUUGAGUGCCGGAGAGGAAAGCGGAAUUCCCAGUGUAGCGGUGAAAUGCGUAGAUAUUGGGAGGAACACCAGUGGCGAAGGCGGCUUUCUGGACGGUAACUGACGCUGAGGCGCGAAAGCGUGGGGAGCAAACAGGAUUAGAUACCCUGGUAGUCCACGCUGUAAACGAUGGAUACUAGGUGUAGGAGGUAUCGACCCCUUCUGUGCCGGAGUUAACACAAUAAGUAUCCCACCUGGGGAGUACGGCCGCAAGGUUGA